CCCGCCGCCGGCUGUUUCUUCCUCCCCCUCUCUCCUUUUGACACUCUCUCUCUCUGUUGACCCUGAGCUGGACGCUCGUUCCUCUCCUCCUCACACCUGCGCCCGAGCGCCUCCUUCCCUCCGGCCACGCGCGCCGCUCAACCCCGACGGCCGCCGUUCCUCCCUCCUGGCCGCGCGCGCCUGUCCUAGCCUCUCCCUUCCCCUCCACUUGCGCGCGCCGCGACUGCACCUCGCCGCCGCCGGCCGUUCGCCCCGAGCGCCGACCUCCGCACGCGGCACGCUCCGCCUUUCCCUGCCACCUCCCGGCAGGCCACCUCGAGUCGCCACCAUGCCUAGCUCCACACCCUAUCGCCAGCCCCGCUUCAAUCUGCUCACGCUCGCUCCGUUUUGCCGUUCGCCUGCAGGUUGUUCGAUCAUAUGUCUGGCCGGCCUAUGCCAAUCCUUGGCCGCAGCAUCUGGCCGGCAGCAGUCUCACGCCCCGCUCCGUUUGGUCCCUCCCGGUAGCAAGGCCCUCUCCUUUCCCGAUUGAAGUCACUGGUCUCUGCUCGACGCGAUGCAUCCUGGACGCACCAGUUCCUCAGCGUCGCUGCCCCGCUCGUCAGUCAGCACUCAGCAGCAGCAAGAGCUGCUUCUUUUCCCAGCAGCAGUAGGGUGUUCCAAUCGCACGCCACCUUCUCGUUUUGGAAUCCAUAAUUUUGUUUCAGUGCGUCGGUGCCAAUGUUGUUCCUCAAAAGCUUGUGAACCGUGCAGGAGUAACAAUAAGUCUUGCAUUGAAUUUGUUCUUUGGCUCUUAUCUCUCGACAUCGGAUAGUAAGUGCUAUGAUAACCUUUUAUCGAUGCCUUGUAUAUUAGGAAUUCAGGAAGGCAAUCUGGAAACUCAAUUAACUUCUGUUAUUGUGUUGCUGACCUGGUAUUGGGUGGUCGGCGGUGUGGUGGAGCUCGGCGUUCUAGACUGGAAGUUGCUGUUCAUGGAGGACAUCCUCCCCGGAUUCCUCUUGGCGGCGCAGCGGGCGGCGCAGCGGGGGGCAUCGCUUUUGAAGGUCGGCACCAUUUCCAUUGAGUACCACUGUACCAUGGCAGUACGAUGAGAGGACGCAAACUGAAUGUAAAUCUGGUACCUUUAGUGGAUCACAGGCUAAGGGAGUUGAUUCGGUGCAGCACGUAUGUAUUUCUGGCGAAGCAAUCGAGAGUGUUUUUGAUGUAUUCGGUGCAGGGAAUCAAGUCCUUUUUAUGAUGCGGGUGGCUUUCCGUGUUUUGGCAUAGUUCCUAAUGGAAUAGGAGCAGAAUUUGGCAGAGUUCCUGUCGGAGUAGGAACAGAAUUUGGCAGAAUUCAAGUUAUUUGUUA